rnacentral:rRNA from 1 species
GGGGGGGUGCUUUACACAUGCAAGUCGAACGAUGAUCCGGUGCUUGCGCCGGGGAUUAGUGGCGAACGGGUGAGUAACACGUGAGUAACCUGCCCUUGACUCUGGGAUAAGCCUGGGAAACUGGGUCUAAUACCGGAUAUGACUCCUCAUCGCAUGGUGGGGGGUGGAAAGCUUUUUGUGGUUUUGGAUGGACUCGCGGCCUAUCAGCUUGUUGGUGGGGUAAUGGCCUACCAAGGCGACGACGGGUAGCCGGCCUGAGAGGGUGACCGGCCACACUGGGACUGAGACACGGCCCAGACUCCUACGGGAGGCAGCAGUGGGGAAUAUUGCACAAUGGGCGAAAGCCUGAUGCAGCGACGCCGCGUGAGGGAUGACGGCCUUCGGGUUGUAAACCUCUUUCAGUAGGGAAGAAGCCCUCUUUGGGGGUGACGGUACUUGCAGAAAAAAGCGCCGGCUAACUACGUGCCAGCAGCCGCGGUAAUACGUAGGGCGCAAGCGUUAUCCGGAAUUAUUGGGCGUAAAGAGCUCGUAGGCGGUUUGUCGCGUCUGCUGUGAAAAACCGGGGCUCAACUCCGGUUUCUGCAGUGGGUACGGGCAAACUAAAUUGCAGUAGGGGAGACUGGAAUUCCUGGUGUAGCGGUGAAAUGC